CUUGUCCUCCAUGUCUGCUAGCUUUAGGUCGUUGUACUCCAUCCGGGACAAGAGUCCCUCCAUCUGGGUAGCCAGUGUGUUGUGGGCUUCCUCGAAGUCCGCUAACUUAGUUUCCACGUGGUCCAGCAUAGUUUGCAGCAUGCUUUGGGUCAGUGGGGAGUCCGGAUUAGGAGAUGCCUCCGAGCUCUCCAGUUCCUCCUCGGCGCC